AGUGAACGCUGGCGGUAGGCCUAACACAUGCAAGUCGAACGGCAGCACAGUAAGAGCUUGCUCUUACGGGUGGCGAGUGGCGGACGGGUGAGGAAUACAUCGGAAUCUACUUUUUCGUGGGGGAUAACGUAGGGAAACUUACGCUAAUACCGCAUACGACCUACGGGUGAAAGCAGGGGAUCUUCGGACCUUGCGCGAUUGAAUGAGCCGAUGUCGGAUUAGCUAGUUGGCGGGGUAAAGGCCCACCAAGGCGACGAUCCGUAGCUGGUCUGAGAGGAUGAUCGGCCACACGGGAACGGAGACACGGUCCAUGCUCCUACGGGAGGCAGCAGUGGGGAAUAUUGGACAAUGGGCGCAAGCCUGAUCCAGCCAUACCGCGUGGGUGAAGAAGGCCUUCGGGUUGUAAAGCCCUUUUGUUGGGAAAGAAAAGCAGCAGGUUAAUACCCCGCUGUUCUGACGGUACCCAAAGAAUAAGCACCGGCUAACUUCGUG
rnacentral:rRNA from 1 species